GAGRAAGAACGCAGCAAACUGUGCGUCAUCGUGUGAAANUGCAGGACACAUGAACAUYGACAUUUYGAACGCAUAUUGCGGUCCAUGCUAUACUGUACUUUAAUUAAUUUUAAAGUGCUGCUUGGACUACAUAUGGUUGAGGGUUGUAAGACUAUGCUAAAUAAGUUGCUUACUUGUAUUAACAAAAUAUCAAUUUUUUAAAAUUGUUAUAAAAGUUAUUACACAAAAAGUAAGCACAUGUUAUAUUACUGGAUAUUAUUAUAUCCAUAAUAUGAAAAGCAAAAGUUUAUACAAUAACACUCAUUUCAAUAUUUAUGAAAAUAAGAAAAAAUUUUAGUAUUCCUUUUCUAUUUGAAAUAAUUAAAUGAAAUGAGAGAAAUGUCUAGCAUAAAAAUAUAAGUAAAAUGUAUAUAAUUAAAUGUGUAUGCAUAUUUACGUUAUCUAGAAUUGUCUUUUAUUAAUUUCAUUUAAUAAAAUUAUAUAUAUAUAUAUAUAUGUUAAAUCAUAUAUAUAUAUAUUUUUUUUUUAUAGAAGAAAAGAUUUUAUAUUUUCAAUUGAUAUGAGUGAAAAAUUUUGUUAAACAAAAAUUUUUAAAAUUUUGUUUAAACAACCUCAACUCAUAUGGGACUACCCCCUGAAUUUAAGCAUAUUAAUGAGGGGAGGAAAAGAAACUAACAAGGAUUUUCUUAGUAGCGGCGAGCGAAAAGAAAAUAGUUCAGCACUAAGUCACUUUACCUUUAUGGUAAAUGUGAGAUGCAGUGUAUGGAAUAUCUAUAUUCUAAUAUGAGAAAUUAACGAUUUAAGUCCUUCUUAAAUGAGGCCAUUUACCCAUAGAGGGUGCCAGGCCCGUAUAACGUUAAUGAUUAUUAGAAGAUAUUUCCAAAGAGUCGUGUUGCUUGAUAGUGCAGCACUAAGUGGGUGGUAAACUCCAUCUAAAACUAAAUAUAACCAUGAGACCGAUAGCAAACAAGUACCGUGAGGGAAAGUUGAAAAGAACUCUGAAUAGAGAGUUAAAUAGUACGUGAAACUGCUUAGAGGUUAAGCCCGAUGAACCUGAAUAUCCAUUAUGGAAAAUUCAACACUAAGAUUUUAUCAUAGUGUGCAUUUUUUCCAUAUAAGGACAUUGUAAUCUAUUAACAUAAAAAUAUUUAUCAAAAGAUCAUUGACUUAAAGUUUAUUCGAAUUAUUUUGCUUGCAUUAUAACAUAGAAUAAAUGUUAAUGAUUUGAUAAAGUGUUGAUAGAUUUAUUAUAUAUAAUGUAUAAAUUCUUCGGAAUUUUACAAUAAUAUAUAUUUUAAAUAUAUAUUUAUUGUAUACAUUUAUAUGAUUUACAAUGCGAAAGAUUCAGGAUACCUUCGGGACCCGUCUUGAAACACGGACCAAGGAGUCUAACAUAUGUGCAAGUCAUUGGGAAUAUUUAUAUAAACCCAUUGGCGAAAUAAACAUAACUGUUUAAUGGGAUUAAUUUUUGUCUAUUUUUUAAAUAGUCUAUUAAUUCAAUCCCGGGGCGUUCUAUAUAGUUAUGUAUAAUAAUAUUUAUAUUAUUUAUACCUCUAACUAGAGCGUACCUUGAGCAUAUAUGCUGUGACCCGAAAGAUGGUGAACUAUACUUGAUCAGGUUGAAGUCAGGGGAAACCCUGAUGGAAGACCGAAACAGUUCUGACGUGCAAAUCGAUUGUCAGAAUUGAGUAUAGGGGCGCAAGACCAAUCGAACCAUCUAGUAGCUGUUUYCUUUCCGA
rnacentral:rRNA from 1 species